rnacentral:tRNA from 1 species
GCGCCCGUAGCUCAGCAGGAUAGAGCAGCGGCCUUCUAAGCCGUUGGUCGGGGGUUCGACUCCCUCCGGGCGCGCCA